GGUUAGAGCCAUAUAACUGUGGUUCUGUUUGUACCGGUUUUAGGGGUUUAAUAGGGGAACUGUGUGGGUGAGACCUAGAAUGGGUCUGUAAACUCAGAUGUAGACGAGAUACAGAUGAACCUUAUUAUGGAAGCCAUAUUGGUAACCCUUGAAGAGGGAGAAGGAUUUGGGAGUUGGAUAAAAUGAGUAAACUCAGAUGGAGACGAGAUACAGAUGAACCUUAUUAUGGAAGCCAUAUUGGUGACCCUUGAAGAGGGAGAAGGAUCUAGGGUGCUGGAUAAGAUGAAUUAUUAAUGAUUAUCUCCACACCACAUUUGAGUUGUUGGGAUUGUGGGAAAUAGGUCCAUAAUUAGUGGAGCUAAAGAAAUGGUAUUCCCAGAAAUCAGGGUUGAUUCUUGUAGGGAGAGAAAAUAUUGGGAAGUUUAGUAAAGUCAGUAGGUAGUUUUGGGGUAUAAAGCUUGAGUGUAAUAGAAACGAUAUUGUCGGGGCCAGACAGUAUAUUGGUGGGAGAAUAUCAUUUUUCAGUGUCUAAGGUGACUA